rnacentral:tRNA from 1 species
GAGGGUAUAGCUCAGCGGUAGAGCACGCGCUUAGCAUGCACGAAGCCCUGAGUCCAAUCCCCAGUACUUCCA